CCUACGGGCGGCAGCAGUGAGGAAUAUUGGUCAAUGGUCGCAAGCCUGAACCAGCCAAGCCGCGUGAGGGAAGACGGCACUAUGUGUUGUAAACUUCUUUUGUACGGGAGCAAACGCUGGUACGCGUACCUGUCUGAAUGUAUCUUAAGAAUAAGCAUCGGCUAACUCCGUGCCAGCAGCCGCGGUAAUACGGAGGAUUCGCGCGUUCUCCGGGUUUAUUGGGUUUAAAGGGUGCGUAGGCGGUCGGAUAAGGCAGCGGUGAAAGCCCGGGGCUCAAACUCGGAAUUGCCGUGGAAACUGGCCGGCGAGAGUGGGGGUGAGGUAGGCGGAAUGCGUGGUGUAGCGGUGAAAUGCUUAGAUAUCACACAGAACACCGAUUGCGAAGGCAGCUUACCGAGCUGCCACUGACGUUGAGGCACGAAAGCGUGGGUAGCAAACAGGAUUAGAUACCCUAGUAGUC
rnacentral:rRNA from 1 species